rnacentral:rRNA from 2 species
UUCCGGUUGAUCCUGCCGGACCUGACUGCUAUCGGAUUGAUACUAGGCCAUGCGAGUCAUUGUAGCAAUACAAGGCAUACGGCUCAGUAACGCGUAGUCAACCUACCCUAUGGACGGAAAUAACCUCGGGAAACUGAGAAUAAUAUCCGAUAGAACAUUAUGCCUGGAAUGGUUUAUGUUCCAAAUGAUUUAUCGCCGUAGGAUGGGACUGCGGCCUAUCAGUUUGUUGGUGAGGUAAUGGCCCACCAAGACUAUUACAGGUACGGGCUCUGAGAGGAGUAGCCCGGAGAUGUGUACUGAGACACGGACCCAGGCCCUAUGGGGCGCAGCAGGCGAGAAAACUUUGCAAUGUGCGAAAGCACGACAAGGGUUAAAUCCGGAGUGAUUUCUGCUAAAGAAAUCUUUUUGUUUAGUCCUAGAAACACUAACGAAUAAGGGGUGGGCAAGUUCUGGUGUCAGCCGCCGCGGUAAAACCAGCACCUCAAGUGGUCAGGAUGAUUAUUGGGCCUAAAGCAUCCGUAGCCGGCUCUGUAAGUCCUCGGUUAAAUCUGUACGCUUAACGUACAGGCUGCCGGGAAUACUGCAUAGCUAGGGAGUGGGAGAGGUAGACGGUACUCGGUAGGAAGGGGUAAAAUCCUUUGAUCUAUUGAUGACCACCUGUGGCGAAGGCGGUCUACCAGAACACGUCCGACGGUGAGGGAUGAAAGCUGGGGGAGCAAACCGGAUUAGAUACCCGGGUAGUCCCAGCUGUAAACUAUGCAAACUCAGUGAUGCAUUGGCUUGUGGCCAAUGCAGUGCUGCAGGGAAGCCGUUAAGUUUGCCGCCUGGGAAGUACGUACGCAAGUAUGAAACUUAAAGGAAUUGGCGGGGGAGCACCACAAGGGGUGAAGCCUGCGGUUCAAUUGGAGUCAACGCCGG